rnacentral:lncRNA from 1 species
UUUGGUAAAAUAGGAUUUUUUGUUUAAUUUAAAAAGUCUAAAAUUUUAUGUACAAUUAUACAACUUUAAUUAAUAGAAAGGCUUGUAAUUUUUUUUUCAGCUGGCCAUCCUCUCUUCUUAUCUCAUUUAACCUCAUCCGCAUGCAUGCCUUUUGCACACGCACCCGAUCUCUCUCUUUCUCGUAUGAUUCUCGAUCUCGUCUUUCGACACAACCGCCACCGCCGCAUUCCUUGAUUUUUUUUCUACAUCU